GACAGAGGGUGCAAACGUUGUUCGGAAUUACUGGGCGUAAAGCGCGUGUAGGCUGCCUUGCAAGUCGGGUGUGAAAGCCCUGGGCUCAACCUAGGAAGUGCACUCGAAACUGCAAGGCUGGAGUCCUGGAGAGGAAGGCGGAAUUCUCGGUGUAGAGGUGAAAUUCGUAGAUAUCGAGAGGAACACCGGUGGCGAAGGCGGCCUUCUGGACAGUGACUGACGCUGAGACGCGAAAGCUAGGGGAGCAAACGGG
rnacentral:rRNA from 1 species